CACCUGGCCACCCACUGUUACUUGACACUCUCACUCAAGCCAUCUGAUCGCCUGACUGGAUUCCGAUCUCCAAGAGCACACAGUCCAGGUUCCUUCUGCAUAAACUUUGAACCUGUCCUCUGUCCCUGCCAUGCUCCUCAGUCCCCCUCUCAGGACGGCACCAUCAUGAGAGCGGCCUGAGCCCUCUUGGUGGCUGUGUUUGAACGGAGACAGCUGUGGGGGCCACAGAAGCUCUGACACAGUCCGAUGUGCUGAUCACACAUGUACACGUGGACUUUACACGUUUGUGGCAGCUUAACACUGCUAAAUUCUUAAACCUACUCAAGCUCAGCUUCUUGCAAAUACAAUUUCCCAGAAGUUGGUAAUAUAGUCUCCUAAAGAUUUAAUAGAAGAAAAGUUGGCUACUUAUUGAAAAGUAUGCUUUUGACUGCCAACUCGGAUUAUUUUAAAUUAAUGUUAAUGCAUGCAAGAUUUGCUCAAAGCAUCCAUCUCUUUAGUGCCCGAUGGGGCUCAGGGCAUGUGUGUAAAUCAUUCAGAUGACAAUUUCCUGGACUGAGUGCUUGGCAUUUACCUACCACAAAUCAAUGCGCUUAUUCACAGAUGGCAGCAUGGGGACACUGAGGAUGAUUGGAGAUGUUGGACACUCGGAAGCAGAAUGACUCUGAAACAGUCAAGAGGCAGCAAGCCUGGAGCUUCUUCCAGAUCUUCUUGAAUUCUCCUUUAAAACUCACUAGCAAAUGCUGACCUGGGAAUUUGAAAACAGCACACUAAAAUGAAGAUAUCAACUCACUUCCUGGACUUUAAACUUCAUGGCUCUGUGGCUGGAAUGCAGCCAUCCAGUUCUUCAAGGGAGAAAUUCUGCAAUGCUGCCUGGUCGCUGUUCCAUGUUGUGGAUCCAGUGUGACUUGCUGAUAGGUUUGUGUAAAGAACCACUGAGUAACUUGAACAUGACAAAUUCUUACAUUAAAAAGAUUAAACCAUAACUUCAGGCUGCUCCUUUCAUUCCUUCCCCACCCUCACCCUCUCAGGAAGCCAGGAAGGAAAAAUGUGUCAACCAUCCAACAGCAAAU
rnacentral:lncRNA from 1 species